AAGACAUGGAUCAGUGGAUCAUUGCCUAAUUCAAUUAUGGAGGUCAUGGAUUCAAAUUUAGUCCAAAUAACUGGGGACCAAAUUGAUGAUAUAUCGACUCACAUGUCAUCUAUUUUUAGUUUAGCCCUGAGUUGUUGUGAAGAUUCACCUGAAGCAAGAAUCAAUACGGCAGAUGUUAUUGCGUCGCUAAUCAAAAUCAAGGCUUUGGUUCUUGGCGCAAACAGGGUCUAGUUAUUUUCCUUUUGUAUAAGUGGAGUUUUCAAUAUUGUUUUUGAAUUGAUGGCUUGCUCUUUUGUUUGUCCUUUCAAUUUUCUUUGUUGUUGUAUGAGAUUGGAGUACAUUUUUUCUUUUUAUUCCUCUAGCUUUUAAGAGAAUCGACCGCUGAAUAAAAGAUCAUCCCACAAGCAUGUAAAAUGGGGUUUGAGGGUCAGGUUUGAAACCCAUUUAUGCAGUAUCCCAUCUCAAUUUAUUUUCUCUCUAAUUGUAAUUUGAUUUCAGAAUCUUUGUUUCCAAUUGUUUUAGAUUAGUGAGGCUCUUGACUCUUUGUGUGAGAGUGGUGACAAAAGUUUUUUUUUUUUUUUUUUGCAUGAGACAAGGGUCUUUUAGGUAAUAUCAGUUGGUUACUACUACUUAAUAGGUUGCUGCAUAAAAAACAUAGUUGAACUUCAUGUGUAUCAAUUUAGAGACAUAUAGGCUCAAAUUUGAUUUAUAUUUUAAGCUCAAGUUUGGUAAAGAAUAUUAGCAAGCAUAAGUAUGACUUAACAAAACUAAGAUGAUAUUUCCUUUCUUACCAUGUUUCUCUCAAGCUUUAAGUCUGUUGAGUAGCAGCGGAAAAUACAGACUUCUAAUAAUAAUAUGAACUAUGCACUCACUAAAGUUGAACACGAAUGUAGCUAGAACAAUAAAUUUGUAUGAAAAAUGUCUAAGAAGAAAGAUGAACUUCUAAUUAAUAAAUUCACUUUGUUACACUCUAUUUGUUUUGUUGUGAUAUCUAAAUUACAAAACUCCUAAACAUUUUAUAGUAAUGUAUAUGCUAAAAAUUGAGUGAACAAUACUUCAAACAAUUAUAAACCUCUCAUGUACUCUCCAUCCUAUUAUUACUCUUAUCCUAGAGUAAACAUUCCUUUGCAUUAUUCUUUGCAUUUUCCAUCUUUAGAUUAUUCCAUAUUUAGUAAACACUAAAUAUUUCAAAUUUGAAAAGAAACUUCAAAUUUUGGACGAACAAAUUGCGUCUUAUUAUACCUCCACAUGAAUCAACAUGUUAGAAUAUUGAGCUAGUCCAAACAAUGUUGGAACUUCCCACCUGACAGAACCUUGGUUAACAUGUCAGCUGGGUUCUCAUUAGUAUGUACCUUUGCAAGAGAAAUACGACCUUCCUCUAUGACAUCCCGUACAAAAUGAUACCUUACAUCGAUAUGCUUGGUCCGAGCAUGAUGAACCUGAUUCUUAGCCAAGUGAAUCGCACUUUGACUAUCACACAUCAGACUCACACGUUCUUGCGUAACACCCAAAUCACCUAGAAGACCUCUCAGCCACAAUACUUCCUUUACUCCUUCUGCUACAGCCAUAUAUUCAGCCUCCGUAGUAGAUAGUGCCACUGUAGACUGUAACAUUGAUCGCCAACUUACUGGAGCACCGUGUAUUUUGAACACAUAACCAGUAGUAGACCGUCGUCUAUCUAGAUCACCAGCAUAAUCCGAAUCAACAAAGCCACUUAUUUGACAUGUAGCUCCACCAAAACACAAACCAGUGUUAAUGGUACCUUUUAAGUACCUCAAAAUCCAUUUCACUGCUUCCCAGUGUGCCUUUCCUGGAUUUGCCAUGAAUCUACUAACAACACUUACCGCUUGUGAAAUGUCUAGACGUGUACACACCAUAGCAUACAUCAAACUGCCAACUGCACUAGCAUAAGGUACAUUUUUCAUGUUUUCCUUAUCUUCUGCUGUAGUGGGAGACUGAUUACCAGAAAGUCUAAAAUGUGGAGCUAAUGGAGUAACCACCGACUUAGAACCUUUCAUUCCAAACCUUUCAACAACCCGCUCUAAAUAGCCUUUUUGACUCAAGAACAGUUUCCGGUUUGUCCUCUCUCUACUAAUCUCCAUACCCAGUAUUUUCUUUGCAGCGCCCAAAUUCUUCGUCUCAAACUCUUUACCAAGUUUAGACUUCAGCUUAUCUAUCUCCACCUUGCCUUUUGAAGCAAUAAGCAUGUCAUCGACAUACAAUAAUAGAUAGAUAUAAUCACCUCCAUGAAGCUUCUGAAUAUAGACACAACUAUCAUAACUACUUCUAGAGAAACCUUGUUUUAUCAUAAAAGAGUCAAAUCGCUUGUACCACUGUCUAGGAGAUUGUUUCAGCCCGUAAAGUGAUUUUCUCAAGCGACAUACCUGACUCUCUUUACCCUCAACCUUGUAACCCUCAGGUUGAUACAUAUAUAUUUCCUCGUCUAAGUCUCCAUGCAAGAAGGUUAUCUUCACAUCUAGUUGUUCCAGCUCAAGAUCACCAUGAGCUACUAAACUUAAUAGCACCCGGAUAGAAGUAUGUUUCACCACCGGAGAAAAUAUCUCAUUGUAAUCAACUCCUUCCUUUUGUGCAAACCCUUUAGCCACUAGUCUAGCCUUAUAUCUUGUACAACACGACUUAGUAUGAUCUUCUUUUCUUUUAUACACCCAUUUACAACCAAUAGCAGACUUUCGUACAGGUAAUGGGAUUACCUCCCAUGUCUUGUUCUUUUGAAGAGAUUGCAUCUCUUCCUCCAUUGCAACCAACCAACUCUCUUUAUCCUUGUCUUUGAAAGCUUGUUUGAAGGUGACCGGCUCAUCAUCUUCAACCGAGAGUGCAUAUUCCACCAAGUUUACCUGCCCAUAAUGCCUUAGAGGUUUGUUUGACCCCAACUUCUGAACUUUUUUAUAAUUUCUCUUUGGCCUAGUGGUAUCAAAAGAUUCCUGCAGCUGUUGUUGCAAUACAUGUGUAUUUUCCUGUUGAACCUCAUUAUCAAGUUCAUCCUCCUCAUCAUCUUGAGUGACACUAGGAUGUUCCACCUGAACAUGACUAGAAUCUAGUUGGUCUUUAGAUUCUAUGUCAACUAUUUGAUUUGAUACUUUAACAUCACCAUAGUUAGGAACUAUAAAUUUCUCAUCAAAGGUAACAUCCCUGCUAAUCACAAAUUUAGAAUCUUCUAGACACCAAAGACGAUAGCCUUUGACCCCUUUUGCAUAUCCUAAAAAAAUAGCUUUCUUGGUUCUAUUAUCAAGUUUGUUAUCCUUGACGUGAUAAUAUGACGUGCAUCCGAAAAUUUUGAGUUUGUCAUAGUCCGCAUAUUCACCUGACCACACCUUGUAGGGUGUGUCUCCACCUAAACUAGAAUGUGGGGAUUUGUUUACUACAUAACCAGCUGUAGCAACCGACUCUGUCCACCAUUCUCGACCUAACCCAAAAUUAGAGCGCAUACACCUUGCUUUCUCAAGAAGUGUACAGUUUAGUCUUUUCGCGACUCCAUUCUGUUGUGGUGUGCCUCUUACCGUCCAGUGUCUAACAAUGCCUUCCUGGUCACAAAACCUCUUGAAAGCUCCAUCUGUAUACUCUGUACCAUUAUCUGAUCGUAGAGUUUUCAACUUUCUACCCGUUCUGCUCUCAACCAUUGCUUUCCAACACUUGAAAAUAUCAAAUACCUCAUUCUUAUGCUUAAGAAAAUAAAUCCAAGCAUACCUUGAAUAAUCAUCAAUAUAUGUAACAAAGUACCUGGAACCACCCUUAGAAGUAACCGAAGCCGGACCCUAAACAUUAGUAUGCACGUAGUUUAACAAUCCUUUUCUUUUGUGUUUUCUUGUAGAAAACUUCAAGCGAUGUGCUUUUCCAUACACACAAUGUUCACAAAAUUCCAUGCAUAGCUUUUUCAUGUUCUGCAACAAACCUUUCUCACCAAGUAAUGAUAGACCCUUUUCUGACAUAUGCCCAAGGCGCAUGUGCCAUAUCCUUGUUCAUUCUGUUUGAUCUUUACUUCCAAUGAUUCCAACCGCCAAGUCUCCUGUAACGGUUUUACCUAUAAGAGGAUAAAGAUUUUUUUGUCGAACUCCCUUCAUCACAACCAACGAACCACUUACAACUUUUAAAAUUCCAUCUUCCAUAACUAUUUUGCAACCAUUUUCCUCUAGAACGCCAAGAGAAAUAAGGUUUUUCUGCAAAUUUGGAACAUGUCUCACAUUCAUCAGAGUUCUUAACGCUCCAUCAUGCAUCUUGAUUUGUAUUGUACCAUACCCCAUAAUUUUACAGGCAUGGUUGUUCCCCAUUAAAACAGUUCCACCAUCUAUACUUUGGUAGGUAGCAAACCACUUCCUAUUUGGGCACAUAUGGUGUGAGGCUCCUGAAUCAAGCAUCCACUUAUCUGAAAUAUCAUGGUCUCUCUCUGAGACAGAGAAACAAUCAUCCUCGUCAUUAGAGACAUAACUCGCCUCUGACAAAUCUUGUUGUUUGCCUUUAGAGUUGUUGCCGUUGUUGGCCUGCUUAUUCUGAAAUAAUACCCUCUUAUUUGGAUAAUUUGCUUUAAAAUGUCCAAGCUCACCACAUUUAAAACAUGUUCUUUCCGCAGGAGCUCUAGAUUUUGAUCUAGACUUCCUUCCCCUGCCUUGUCCUCUUUCAUUGGUCCUCCCUCUAGUAGCAAACAAUCCUUGAGCUUGUUCCCUAUGUUCUCUUCCACUGCUAGACAUCCCGCUUGUAGUAACCUUUCGAAGAUCAUCCGCUAAAAGUGAUGUUCUUGUCUCAUCCAUGGUUAGAGUAUCACCCACAAGCAUCAAUGUUUGAACUAGAUUUUCGUUAGACUCUGGUAAUGAAAGCAAUAACAUGAGUGCUUGGUCUUCUUCAUCAAUCUUCACAUCUAUAUCCUUCAAGUCUGAUAUAAUCCUAUCAAAUUUGUUGAAAUAAUCCCGGAUUGAGGUGCCUUCCUCCAUCUUGCAUGUAUACAUUGGAUUUCAUGUAGAUCCGAUUUGUCAGAGUUUUCGUCAUGAAAGUUUUCUCUAACUUUGACUAUACGCCAGCAGCCGUUGCUUCUUCAUUAACCAAGAAUGCAACAUCCCUCUCAAGGUAUAAGAUUAUGGCUGCCCGUGCUUCAAGAUCUAACUCUUCCCAAUCCUCAUCCUUCAUACUCACAGGUUUUUGUUCUUUCCCCACUAACGCCUUAUGCAACUUUUGUGAUAUAAGCAGAUUUUUCAUUUGCAUCCUCCAAUAGGAAAAAUCAUUUUUCCCAUUGAACCUUUCUAUUUCAUAUUUGCCGACCUUGACCGAUCCACUAGAAGAAGCCAUUUUUUUUGGCUCUGAUACCAAUUGUUGAGUAGCAGCGUAAAAUAUAGACUUCUAAUAAUAAUAUGAACUAUGCACUCACUAAAGUUGAACACGAAUGUAGCUAGAACAAUAAAUUUGUAUGAAAAAUGUCUAAGAAGAAAGAUGAACUUCUAAUUAAUAAAUUCACUUUGUUACACUCUACUUGUUUUGUUGUGAUAUCUAAAUUACAAUAGUAAUGUACAUGCUAAAAAUUGAGUGAACAAUACUUCAAACAAUUAUAAACCUCUCAUAUACUUUCCAUCCUAUUAUUACUCUUAUCCUAGAGUAAACAUUCCUUUGCGUUAUUCUUUGCACUUUCCAUCUUUAGAUUAUUCCAUAUUUAGUAAACACUAAAUAUUUCACUUAUUCUCACAAAGUCACUAAUACUACUAGAAAAGGGUGAAAGCUUCAUGUGUGUAUAUAUCUUAAAUACAUAUUGAUGGUAAGUGUGAAUACGUUGGUGGCUAAAACAUAGAAGAAUUAUAUAUUUGUUGGCAAUGCAUUCAUGUUGAGAUAAUAAUGUAGGAGGUUUGCAGAGGUUAGCUAAGUAUAGUGCUUUUUAUACUUUGGGGUUCCAUUUGUGGAAUCUGAGUAUAAAGGCGAUAAAUUUCUCGUAAGUUUAGUAUCCUUAAUCUGAACGAAAUGAAUUGGAUAGCAUAAAUUCCCUGUUUGGGACCAAUUAAAAUGCAAAAAGGAUAAACUAUAUCAUCUCCAAUUCUGAGUUUGAGGAUUUUAAAAUACCCCUUAAUUAGUGAGAAAUUGAGAAUUCUCCGUUCUCUUUGCUCUUUUGUCCCUUCGCUUUGCACUUCCCUCAUCUCUUCAUGUGGUGCUUCACGAUUGGCCAUGGUGCAUUGUGGCACUUCACGAUUCUCCAUGGUGCAGUUUGGUGCUUCUUUUUCCUCGCGGUGCUUACGCGAAUCAAAGAAAAUACCAAGGCCAAAGAACUCAGACAUGUCAGAACAAAAUAAUUGCUCUAAGAAGUUCAAGAAUAUGAGUAUCUGGACUUCUUAUUCACUGGUUUUCCAUGUUAUCAUAUGUACAUAGUGUAAUAUAGGCAUGCAGCCCUCAAGUUCAACCUGGUGAGAAAUGCAAUAUAGGCAUGGAGGAUUGUUGAGCCCAAAGUGGAGUCAGUUGACUUGACUGUGGUAAAGCAUCAGGGGUUGUUGAGCCUAUGGUAGCAGGUUGAUGCAUCAUGGCCAUAUGUAUGGAACACUUGACACUCCAAGGUACUACGACCACCUCCUCCACCAUUACGGCCACCACGACCAUGUUUGCCAGAGCCUUGGGAGUAACUGAGAUCAGUGACGUCAUCUGAGGGUUGAAAAGAAUUGUCCGGAGACAAAUUUGUGAGUGGAACUAAAUUCGGACUACUGGACGCCACUGACGAAGCAAUGAUAAUUGAAGGAAUUCAUUUCUUACAAAACCUCUCAUUUCGUACUUCAUGUCCAAGAAGUACGAGUUUCAACUUUAAUGAUGGAAAUUGAACCAAAUCUCCAACUGAUAAGUGAGAUUGUAGACUUGUAAUCUUGAGGCAAACCCUCAAGAAUCACAUCCAAGUAUUCUUUAGCUGAAAGAGUUACAGCAGUUCCUUCCAACGAAUGAAUUAGGUCUUGAACGUGAGCAAGAAUUCAGAAACAGAACCUUGAUCAAAUUGCGUAGCUCGAAGCUCAAAUCGCAAUUGUUGCGAUUUCACAUCGGUAUGUGUUUGCAAGAAUGCAUGAAAUUGAUCCCAAAGUUGCCACUAGUGCUUGCUUCUGAUCACAAUUGUGAGCAUUUCUUUGGAAAUCGUUGACUUUAACCAUGAGAGUAGAAUCUGAUCUUGCACUUCCCAAGCUUCAAACGCUAUAUUAACUUGAUAUGCAACGCUAUAUUGAAGUCGGCUUUUCCUAGUUCCAACAAUCAUUGUACUCGUAAAAUAAAAGUAAUAUAAAAAGCACUUCAGGUGGAAUACCCAUCCAAAAAGGAUAGAAAUGUCGUAAAGAAAGUAAUAGAUAAAAGGACAAAAGGUGGAUAACAAAGACGGUGUUAUUUACAAUAAUGAUACGCUGUAGCCAAUUCAAUUAAAAAUCAUUUAUUCUGGUAAAUGUAAUAGGCUUCCUGUAUAUUUCUUGAGAUGGUAAUAACACUAAUGAGCCAUGAGGUAAUCCUAUAAUUCGGAUGAAAAGAAAACUGGAAAAGAUUCACUUUUCAUAAUAUGAGGCAUGGAGGAUUGUUUAGAGACCAUAUAUUGAGAAGUGAUUUGGAUCAAUAUUUUCUGAGCGCAUUGGACAUGAUUACUUUUGCGUUGUAAAAUUGUCCAUUGUAAUUUCAAGCAGAAUAUUAUGCUGGUCUUAAAGCUAAAAAAUUCUUCAGAAGAUCCAAUCAAGUAGUAGAAUCCUUUAAAACAUUGAUAGGGAAAAGAUGGCUUGUGUCAAUACUGAAACGAUGUUUAACAAAACUCAGUGAAAAUAUCAAACCACUUAAGAGACACAGAUCAGACAUUUUAUAGCAACCAAAAGUGGGCAGACUAUAUUAUUGCGGCCACGAUGGGUUACUUCCGAGGCCCAUAAAUAUAUGAUGGGAAGACUAUAUCAUCACUAAUUAGAAGAAAGAUGCAAGCCCGUAAAUAUAUAAUGACCACAUUUUUUUUUAGAAGCUAGAUCAAAAUAUUAGAGGACAAUGUAUACCAGAAUAAAUUCAAUGUAUAACCAUAUUCUGGUAAAUUCAAUUGAAAACUUGUUAUUCACAUUAGCAAUGAAAUUGGGUUUACAUCAUUACUUGCUAAGAAAGUAAUUAUUCAAAACUAACAAAUUUGCUUAAAAGUACCUAACAAACAUAAGAAACUUUUUUAACCGCUUUCUAUCUUAACUAACUUGAGCUUAUCUCGACUAACAUGAUUUUGAUUAACUUUUUGCUGAAAACUUCCAACAACAACAGCUUAACCAUCUCAGCAACAGAGCUUUUCCAAAGAGAAAAGGUAGUUCGACUCCAAAGGCCGCCAUGACAAAUACCUCCACGCAGAAGACAACGAAAAAUCAAUAAACCAAGACAGAAAUGGAUCAUCAAAAAACGCUAAAUGGACAGUAGAACACAUCCCAGAAUACGACAACAUCAUCCGUCUCAAAAGCUGUUACAACAAAUACUUAACAGCAUCAAAUCAGCCUUUACUUCUAGGCGUCAUGGGUCAAAAAGUAAUUCAAACACUGCCAAGGAGACUCGAUUCGUCUGUGGAAUGGGAAGGUGCACAGGUUAAGCUGAAAACAAGAUAUGGGAACAUUCUUAGAGGUAAUGGUGGGUUACCGCCUUGGAGAAAUUCAGUUACGCUUGAGAUUCAUCAUAGAAGUGCUACUCAGGAUUGGAUUCUUUGGGAUGUUGAUGUUCUUGAGAUUCAUGUUGGAAAUCCUCCUCCUCCUCCNCUUGAGAUUCAUCAUAGAAGUGCUACUCAGGAUUGGAUUCUUUGGGAUGUUGAUGUUCUUGAGAUUCAUGUUGGAAAUCCUCCUCCUCCUCCUCCAGUAACACCUCGUUUACCCAACUUAAAAAUUUCACAUAUAACCACAUAUAAAUCAGACUAUUUUCAACGUCAACGGAAUGUCACACUACUUUUCAUAAAAUCAUAAACUGAAUAAAUAACUAUUUAUCCUUCAAAUUCAACAACAUAUAAAUUAUUACUUCGCAGCGGAAAUUAUUUCAAUAUUUAAACAUCUAUGGCACCAAGGCCUCAACAUAAAUCUUGUUGUUUUUGUAAUUUGAAAUUACGGCAGAGCUUUGAAACUAUUACCGGGGUGAGUCACGACCAGGUAGCUUUCUUUAAGACGUUUUGCGGCACUACCUAAGUUGUGCAAGGUAGACUAGCAACCACGCCGUCUCCAGGAUAAAAACAGCCCAGAUUAUUUCUGUACGAUUAAAGGCUGCACUGCCAGAAAUCGCUCGAGAAUAACACCUCAAUAUGGUUUCGAAAAACCACUCUAAUAUGGUACGUAGACCACUCGAGAAACCAAAGAAGGAGGAAGAAAAGAACGGUUCGUCAACACAAACCGAGGGAGAUGAGAAGGGGAGAAAACCAGAGAAGAGGAUUCGAUUCUCGGUUUUGGAGUGAAGAAUUCCAUUCCCGAGCUCUCUAUUUAUAGAGAGGAUUUGACCUCGUUUUCUCCGCCGACCCGGUUCGCGACCCACCAAACUUAGCCCACGACGCGGAAACGUGUGAGACUUGGUCUUUUUCUUUUUCUGAGCACCAAAAAAUAUAUUUCUAUAAGGCCCAACCCAGCCCAGCCCAAGCCCGGUCGGACGACGGCGUCGCGCGCGUGUCUUAUAUAAUUUUUGGCUAGCUCACUCCGUUCACAAAAGUGGGUACCCCAAGGGUACACCCUUGGAAGUGAUAUCCCACAUAUAUAAACACUACUAGAGUGUGUGAUCUACCCAAUGUGGGACAUAAAAUUUUCAAUUCACACUUUACACUAGUUUCUACAUCCUUGUGUUUACAUUCCAAAGUCUCCACAUAACAACUAGUAUACUCCAAGUUUUUGCCAAUAUACACUAGUUUAUAUGUGAAUUUGAUAAGUCAUAAUUUAAGUGGUUUUUGAGUAUUUAUUUUUAUAGGAUUUUGUUUGUUUAAGUUCCUUUUUAGAACUAUUUUACUGCNCGACUCACAUGUCAUCUAUUUUUAGUUUAGCCCUGAGUUGUUGUGAAGAUUCACCUGAAGCAAGAAUCAAUACGGCAGAUGUUAUUGCGUCGCUAAUCAAAAUCAAGGCUUUGGUUCUUGGCGCAAACAGGGUCUAGUUAUUUUCCUUUUGUAUAAGUGGAGUUUUCAAUAUUGUUUUUGAAUUGAUGGCUUGCUCUUUUGUUUGUCCUUUCAAUUUUCUUUGUUGUUGUAUGAGAUUGGAGUACAUUUUUUCUUUUUAUUCCUCUAGCUUUUAAGAGAAUCGACCGCUGAAUAAAAGAUCAUCCCACAAGCAUGUAAAAUGGGGUUUGAGGGUCAGGUUUGAAACCCAUUUAUGCAGUAUCCCAUCUCAAUUUAUUUUCUCUCUAAUUGUAAUUUGAUUUCAGAAUCUUUGUUUCCAAUUGUUUUAGAUUAGUGAGGCUCUUGACUCUUUGUGUGAGAGUGGUGACAAAAGUUUUUUUUUUUUUUUUUUGCAUGAGACAAGGGUCUUUUAGGUAAUAUCAGUUGGUUACUACUACUUAAUAGGUUGCUGCAUAAAAAACAUAGUUGAACUUCAUGUGUAUCAAUUUAGAGACAUAUAGGCUCAAAUUUGAUUUAUAUUUUAAGCUCAAGUUUGGUAAAGAAUAUUAGCAAGCAUAAGUAUGACUUAACAAAACUAAGAUGAUAUUUCCUUUCUUACCAUGUUUCUCUCAAGCUUUAAGUCUGUUGAGUAGCAGCGGAAAAUACAGACUUCUAAUAAUAAUAUGAACUAUGCACUCACUAAAGUUGAACACGAAUGUAGCUAGAACAAUAAAUUUGUAUGAAAAANAACUAGUAUACUCCAAGUUUUUGCCAAUAUACACUAGUUUAUAUGUGAAUUUGAUAAGUCAUAAUUUAAGUGGUUUUUGAGUAUUUAUUUUUAUAGGAUUUUGUUUGUUUAAGUUCCUUUUUAGAACUAUUUUACUGCAAUUUUGUUUGUUUUAUUCUCAGGAUCACAAGUGAUGAAGGACCAAGUCUUAAAGCAAAAGAAGGGAUCUAAAAGCAUGAUUGAGGCAUGAAGCAUGAAAGAUGCAAGAUUGAAGCCUGUUUGAGAAGAGAAAGAAGGGAAAUUCUGACCUAUCUAUCGCGCAGGGUCGUGCAUGCCAUUGCACUGACCGUGCGCCCCUUCUAGUGAGACCGUGCCCAAUUAAAUUCACAAUGUCGAGAGCACGCACGGACCGUGCGUGUGAAACGCACGACCGUGCGCGAUUGUAACUUCCAGAUUAUACUGUUGUGCAUUGAACCAAGCACGGUCGUGUGCCUUGCAAGCACGACCUUGCGCGUGGGCCUAAGCUGAUUUAGUGCAAAAUUAUGUUCCGAUUUGGGCUGUUUUUAAGACAUAGAGAUCUACUCACUCAUGUUCAUCUUGGAAUAUUUAGUGACAAUUGUUUCCAUUGAAUCAAAGUCUUUAUUUUUUCUGCAACCCUAAUUUCUUGUUCUUUACAAUUCUGCAACUUUACUUUCAGCCGUUUACUUUCAUGUCUUUCUACUCCAUUACUUUAAUCUAUUUGUCUAUGAUGAACAUGAGUGAUUAGAUCUCUAUGUCUUGGGAUUGUUGGAUGAGUAUAAUGACUUAAUUCCUAUCAAACCAAGCCUAGAACCCUAAUCUUAUGUGAAUCUAUUUUCUAAUUUAAUCUCACCGUUAAUAAUUCAUAUUUCAAAUACUAAUCGAAGGAUCGAAAGAUGAAGGUUAGUAUAUUAGAACAAGUGAGAUUAUAAAAGUUUUGCAAAACAUGAGAAUAAUUUUGUAAACCUUGAGACCUUAAAGUUUCGUUCUUAAUGGAUUUCGAUGGCAAUCAACCAUGAGAAUAGGUUUGAUUGCCAUUGAAAUACACUUGUGGAUUCCGAAAGGAAACAUAAAAUACAUUAGAGAAACUUGUCUUUUGAAACGGAUUUAACCUAAGAUUAAAAUAUAGGUUUGGGUUGUGAAUGAAUUGUCGUUACGACUAACCAAUAAUCCCGAGACGCUUUUUAUUAUCUGAAUUUUAUAUCAAUCAAUCUGCUAAACUUCUAAACUUUAAACCUUUCAGCUUAUGAUAUUUAGAAAGGAAAUCGGUAAUUACAACAACUCCUUGUUGAACAAUAUUUUACUACUUUGAUAGAACCGUACGCUUGCGGAUUUCACAUCAGAAUUCAGUAGUUAUGAUUUAAGUCAAAUAUUUUUUAUGAUAUGACGGUUAUGAUUGAUUGAGAAUGUAAAAAAAAUAUAUCCAAGAUGCUAAAAUCUGUGUGUAUUUGUAGCCAAAUUAAUUGUUAAAGUUAAACUAUGGUAUGAGUCCUUAAUAAUGGAAAUUAUACCGAAGGAGUUUCAGUGCUGUUUAAUUUUGAUUUUUGUAUGUUAAAUUAGUUUCUGAAUGUGUAAUUUUUGUUAGAUCUUUAGUCUCGAGUGGCGGAUCUUGAGUUAAUUUGUUGGGGGUGCCAAAAUUUUAUGGAAUAUAUAUUAACUGGUUUCAAGUAUUAUCAAUAAUUAAUAGCUGGAUAAGUGGUAUAAAAUGUUUUAAAGGAGCAAGAGGAAGUGGGUUUGAAUCCCCUCAAAAUGUUUAUUUUUUAUUUUUUAUGCAAUAAUAGAAGAUUAAACAAGUAAAAAAAAGAUGGCAGAUUAAUUUUUGUUAGAUUGAUAUUCUAGUAUUUUGCGAUAUGUUUGAUUCAGAUGACAAAUUGAUUUGGAAAGCAGAAAAGGACGAUGAGUAUGAUAUGUAAAAAUAAAAAGUGUCUAUAGGCUUUGUAUGGAAGGUUCGGUGGAUACAUCGCAUUUUCAAAGACCAGGUUUCUGGGCUGGAUUUAGCGGUUAAAGGUUUUCCCGAAAAUAAAAAACUAAGAAGCCCGGAUACAAAUACAGGUGCGGAUACGCAAAUCUUUUUAAAUUUAGGAUACGAUACGACCGAGAUACGUUAACAAAUUUUUUAUACUAAAACCUAUUUGUAUGUAAAAUACUUGAAAAUAAACUUCGAUUACUCUUCACUAUUAUGUUAUUAUAAAAGUCACAAUUUUUUUUAAAAACAAUACAUGUGAUUAAAUGAAAAAAUGUAAAGGUUUUCUUAUAAACCAUAUUAUAUUUUCAUAUGUUUUGUUAUCGAGAGAAGAAUAAUUAAAAGAACUCAACAUAUAUUUUAUCUAAUGUUGAUUAACUGAAUCACCCCUCUCUCAUUACCUUCAUUCACAAGAAGUAUAAUUUUAAGUGGUUCACCGUGAAACAAUUCUACUAAUGCAUAUCUAAAAUUGAAUCAUAUAUAUUUGUCAUGAAUUUUUACAAUAUUGUCUCACUUGUUUACCCUUCAUCUUUUUUUAGGAUACAUAUAUGCGAAGUAUCUUAUAAGUAUCCUUGUCUAUUUGUGGAGUAUCAUAUAAGUAUCCAAUAAUAUAUUUUUUAAAAAUUAAAAUAAUUAAUUCUGAUACUUCAUGGGUACGUAUCCGCGAGUAUCCGUGGAAUAUUGGUAUCCGAUACGGGUACGUCUCCGUUUUGUAGUAUUCGAGCUUCAUAGAUUAAAAACUUCGUCUCAUGAAUGUGUCGAGGUUGUUUGCCUACAAAAGUUCGUUUAGAGGAUAAAGGUGUCCAAUACCCUACAAAGUGUGUUAGUUGUGUUUCUUCUGAUUAAGAUUUGGCUCACGUGUCUUUUACUUCGCCAUUUGCAAUCCAAGUUUGGAUUGAGGCUGACAUUUGGAACGACAUUCAACAGACUGUCACUGACACUAGUUUGACAACAGAAGCGAUCUUUAUGUUGUUACAACGUUUCACGGCAGAACAACAGCGUGAUCCCAAAACGAUAGAUGCCUUCCAUAGUAGGCAUGUAGCUGCCGUACAUUUUUAGGAUUUCUUAACAUGUGCCAUAAGGGCAUAAGUUAUUAAUAUAACAUGUGCCCUAAGGAUACAAUUAUUUUACAAAUAUAUUCAAUAAUGUGUUCCCAUAUCAAUUAAUUAAUAUAAAAACGCUUGAGUUGUUAUAUUCAUUAAUUGACGUGACAAUACAUUAUGCAUGUGCAAAAUAUUAUGCAUUGACAUAAUAUACUAAUUUUUUUUUUUUUUUUACAUUAACAUAAUAUACUAAUUAAACUCAAAUAAAAAUACCAUUAUUAUUUUUUUCCACAAGAAUGCGCGAAGAUGAGAAUUAAGAGGUAGAAAAUCAAUGCUUAAUAGUCAUCGUCGGAUAGUAAUGAAUUAUUCUUGGACAUAUUAGAAUUUUCCAUGCAAUUAUGUACGCUAUACUCUUGUCCUUUUUUCAUUGACUGACUUUUAAAUUGCAACUUGGGCAAAAAUCAUUCCAAUAUCUAUCUAUCUAUCUAGACUUGGUUGAUUUGAAGCACUGCCCCUACCAACACUCUCGGUAUGAGAAUCUAUCACAUUUACACAAAAUGACGAAAAGUAGAGAGUGAAAUAAACGUUAAUAUUAUUAAUAAUAGCGUAGGAAACUCAUUUUUAAACCACUAUAUAUGUAUCAUCCCAUCAGCCCCUUGCCUUGUCUCUCAUACACACACUAAGGAAAAAUGGUGAAUGUAUUAUCUCGUCUCUUACUUUUUUUGAUAUCAUUGCAUUGUUUUGUGGCUUGCUUAGCUACGAAUACAAAAAACAUCACAACUGAUCAAUCUUCACUUUUAGCAUUCAAAUCACUAAUUACUUCAGACCCCUAUGAUAUGUUGUCUAAUAAUUGGUCAACAUCCUCUCCUGUAUGCACUUGGGUUGGUGUCACUUGUGAUGAGCGACACAACAGAGUCCAUAGUUUGAAUCUCCAUAACAUGAGUCUUAGAGGUAUUGUUUCCCCAAACCUGGGGAAUUUGUCGUUCCUUGUUAUACUUAACCUCUCCAGCAAUAGCUUCAAUGGUCAGUUUUCUAAAGAGAUAUAUUGGUUGCAUCGAUUGAAGGUUAUUUCUAUCGCCUUUAAUGAGUUUGUUGGAGGAAUUCCUGAAGCGUUGGGGGACUUAUCACAACUUCAAAUUGUGCAUCUUGGCGCUAACAAUUUUAGAGGUUUUCUUCCCCAAUCGAUUGGUAAUCUUCGCCAGUUAAAAAGUUUUGAUAUUAGUUGAAACAUGUUGUUUGGACCCAUACCUCAAACAAUUUCAAACAUGUCUUCACUUGAAUAUCUUGUUUUACAUCUUAACUACUUUUCAGGUAAUGCUAGCUCUGAUAUUAUGUGUCAUAUUUUCUAUAUUUCUUGUAUUCACACUAUUUAUGAUUUUAUAAUUUCAAUAUUGGAUUUAUUACUCCUCCCGUUCCACACUAACAGCUGCACAUAUGACUAAUUUAUAAAAAUUCAUAAUAAACUCCACAGAAAUUGGGCGUGGAAGCCCAAAUUAUGUGUCAUGAAGUAUUUGCAAUGUCAUUUACAUCAAGAAAUAACAAAAGAUUAAUGAUAAAGUUGACAAUAAAUAUAAAAAACAUUGAAAUAAUCAUUAAAAAAUAUUAUCUGAAGCAUGAUUCUAUCGUUUUCCUAAACUUGGAGAAUCUUUAGGCAUGACAAUUGGACCCAGGCCCAACGGAUACCCGCAUAAAAUACCCACAAUGGGUAGGGUAAAACCCCGCUAUCAUGGGUCUGGGGAUGGGUCCGGGUAAUACCCACAAAUUUAAUUGAAGAUGGGCACGGGUAAGGGUAUUAUACUGCCCAGCCCCGCAACCCCGCAUAUACAUAUUUAUUUAAUAUCAUAAGUAAUUUAUUUAUUUUUAGUGUAUAAUUAAAAAAUUUAUUUAACCUAAACCAAAAAACUGCUUAAUACAAUAACAACUCCAUCCUGCCGGUGUAAAGUUUUUAAAGAUAUUUUGGAUGUUUUUAAUUUGACUAAAUACUAAGAUUCAUAUUUAAUUUUAAAAGAUUUAAACCAUAGUUUUAUUUCAAUUGUGAUAUUUUUAUUGUCUUUUCAUAGUUAAAGUGCGGGUAAUGGGUGCGGGUACAGGCACUUAGGUACCCAUAGGGUAUGGGAAAGGGUACUAAAGUUGUUGUCCACGACGGUACGAGCACGGGUACGAGUAAUUUUUACAAAUGCGGGUAUGGGGAUGGGCAUUUGUAGUACCCUACCCAUUAGGUACCCAUUGCCAUCCCUAAGAAUCUGUCAUUCCUUGUUAAGCUUGACCCGAAAAACAAUAGCUUCGAUGGUCAGUUUCCUAAAGAGUUAUGUCGGUUACACCGAUUAAAAGUUCUUCAUAUCAAUUAUAGUGAGUUUGAAGUUGGAAUUCAUGUAAUCCUGGGAAACUUAUGAAUUUAUUGGCAACAUUCAGUGGUUGAAAGAAUUGGAUACUGGUCACAACAGACCAAUACCUCAAACAAUUUCAAACAUAUAUUUACUCAAAGUUUUCUAUUUAUUUUCUUACUGCUUUUCAGGUACUACAACCUCAGAUAUAAUGCGUCAUCUUUGUUUGUUUUUCACUAUUUGUGAUUUAAGAAUUUUAAUAUAGAAUUGAUUACUCUUUUCCAUAAUAUUUAUUAUGCAUUUGACCAUUUUACAUAUAUAUUAAGAAAAGAUGAAAAUGAAAGAAAUAUAAUUGUUAUUUUACUAAUUUAUUCUCCUUUUCUUUUUAUAAAUUUUACUAAUUUUUUUCAUGAAUUAUUUACCAUUUUUUUGCUGCAUAAUAUCUUAGAAGUAAUGCACAUGUUAUUAAUUAGAUUUUACAAUUAAAAAUUAGAGUCCAAAUCAUUGACAUGACAAUAAAGACAUUUUAACUAUGUUGACAUCCUAAAACUACUACCUUUCAUUUGCAACACUAUGAUGAAUAUUAUAAAAAUGAAAAGCAAUUUUGGGGGAUUUUUGAAAAAUAAAAAAAAUAAAAAAUAUCUCAUGCUUUGGAAUGGCUAGGUGAUAUGCGGUUUGAUAACGUCGACAUUAUGUGAGAGGAAGAGGAAGAGGGAAAGGAAGAGGAAGAGGACGCGGAAGAGGAGAGAGAGGUGCAAGAAAUAUCAAAGUGAUUGAGUGUUUUUCUUUUGCUUUUUGCUUGUUGUUCAGAUUUAUGACUUUUUUUUUUUGGAAGAAGAAGAAUAAGAAGAAGAAGAAGAAGAAAAGGAAGAGGAAGAGGAAGAGGAAGAGGACGAUGAAGUGGACAAGGAGAGAAUGAUCAAAGAAAUAUCAAAGUGUUGAGUGUUUUUGUUUGCUUGUUUUUUCGAUUUAUGACUUCACUCCCUCCGUCCCAUAAUAUAAGGAAAAAAAACUCAUUUUCUUUGUUCCAAAAUAUAAGCAAAAAAGACAAACUUUUAUCCUAUUUAAUCUUGUUUUUUAAAAAAAUCUCUUUCCCAAGAAAAACUUUUGUUUAUUCUCAUAAAAUUAAAUGCAAAUUACAUUCAAUUUUCUAUCUCUUUCAUUUUUUCCAUAACCAAUAGCCAAUGAAAAUUGUUUUUAUUAUAUCCUCCUAUAAAACGUUUUCCAAAGAAAACACAAAAAACUAUACUCUAAAUUCUUAUGUUUAAGUUUUCUUAAUAAGUGUGUUUUUUUUUUUUGCUUAUAAUUUGGGACGGAGGGAGUAUUUUGGUUUUAGUCCUCCGAUUUAUUACUUUUUUUUUUGGUUUUGGUCCUCCAUUAUAUGACUCAGCCAAAUGUUUGUCACGUCAACCUCUAUUUGCCAAAUCAGUUUUUUUUUAAUAGUAAGGACUAAAAUCAAAACGUUUGCAACUUACAUGGUUUGUUUUUUGUUUUUUUUUUAAAAAAGAAAAAAUGCAUGAACGAAAACCAAAAUCUCGCCAACUUACGGGGACUAACUACAUAUUUAAGUCAAAAUUAUAUCAUGUCCAAUAAAUUUUCAAACUUACUCUGUCAAGAUAAAAUUAGUUUCUAAUAUUCCUCCAUUCCAUUUUCCUGAUAUUGAAAUGUUAACUUGAAGAGGAAAAUUAAAAUAUAAAUAUCAAUCAAUGUCAUUCACAUCUUAAACAUUAACCGAAGAUUCUCCAAAGACACAACAUGUGUUCCCACUAUUACAAAUCGUGUUAGGUUAUUAAAAAAAAGUAACGGUAUUACCUACAAAUUUCUUAAUGCACAAUUUGUUAAUUCCAUGCACAAUUUGUUAACACAAUGAAUCAUUUUUAGGCUGUAUUGAGUGUUAAGAUGGGGCCAAAUCAAAGUUAUAAUACAUGUUUGCAAUCUGCUUCACAUUCAUAACAUAUUUGGUAUCUAAUGUGAUUAGAAUUGGAUUUACAUUUUUUGUGCUUCUGGCAAUCUCAUCUAUUCAAUAAAGAACCAUAGUUAGCUAUUCCUAUUCCUCCAAAUUAUAAAAAAGCAGUAUGGUUAAACAAUUGACCUACCACAACAUAUGAAAAUCUAUUUUAAAACAAAGUUAUAACAAACGGAUCCAUUAUAAAACUUUCUAACAAAUAACUAUCAACAUUUAUAAGUAAAUUUUUCUAUUAAAUUUUUUUCGGAUACAAAUAUUUUCUAUUAAUAUAACAUUUAUGUCUUACAACCAUUUUUACUGUUAUAUAAAAAUAAAUAAUAAACUAUAUGUACAUUAAUUGACUUAAUUACAGUUUUUCUCCCCUUUUUUGUUCGAUUUAUGGAAUUUUGUCCUUCAUUUCUAAAUUCGUAAUAUUGGUCCUUUAAUUUUUCCAACUUGUGGUGAGGUACAAUAUAAAAUGAUGUGACAUUAUACAAAUUGAAUCCACAUAUUAAACUUAAACUUUUAUUACUUGUAAAUUCUAUAUUCAAUAAUUAAUAGUAAGUUCCAAUUAAUCUAAUUAAAUAAGUAAAAAAAAAAAUCUAAAAACCAUAAAUUGAAAUUGUUUAAUAAAUAAAAACCGUGAACCCUAAAAUUUCAUCUUUAUCCAUCAUUUACAACCCAAAGACCAAGGAUGCAGUACUGCGAUUUUCAAUUCGGCUAAAAACCAUGAACCUUAACUUGUAACUCAUUGCAUGAUUCUUUUAAACAACAUAAAUAAACCUUCCAACGUAAACAACAAGCAAACAUUAUUGUGACUAAAUCAAACAACAACCCUAUAAAUAUAACCCAAGAGAAUUCAAUAAAACCACCCAAAUACUUUAUUAUUAUUUUCAAUUUUUAUAUUUUGUCCUUUGAUGCAUAUCUCUUUCUUUUUCAACUCCUCUUUCAAUUCUGACGUUUUACCCAUAAAUUGCAAAGCAAAUGUUUUACCAUAUACAUUCUACACCCUUAAAAUUGCUGUCAUUUUAUCGGGACAAUUGUGAGUGAACCGAAGGUCUAAAGAGACCGCAAUUGAGAAGAUGAUUGACGAGAGAAGAAGCAACGUUGUAUGAGAAGAUAGAGAGAUGAAAUGAAAGUAUAUAUAAAGGUUUUUAUUUAUGAUUAAAAAGAUAUAACUUUAUAAUUUUGGUGGUGUGCUUUUCUUAACUUUAUUUAAGAUCUCAAGUUCGCGUGUCAAUUUCUGUGGGUUGGUUCAACUUCAUACAAAAAAACAAUCUAAGAAAAAAAUUCUUGUUUCUAGGGUUGAAUUGAGAAAAAAAUUGGGGAUUCUAACUUUAUAGAUUUUGUUAAGUUUUAUUUAUUUAUUUAUUUAUUUUUAGCAAGUUAAGGUUUAUUUCUGUUGCUUAAAAUAUAAAGAAAAAUUAAUUUUGGUCGAUAUGAUGGUUAGAUUUUUUGUUCAUACAAAUGUACUUGGAUGUUAAUUACUAGAUUAUACUAGAAUUUUAUAGUAACUUUUCAAUGAAAUUAUUGGUUCCCAAUGACCUUACAUUGGUCACUAUCUCCUAAUCAAAAUUUUAAUUAUAAAAAAUAAAUAGCCCCAAAAUAAUGAACUUGGACAUUACGUUGAUACUUAGAUGUAAAAGUUACACAUAUGCAUGUAAAAUUCCACCGCCUAACAACAUGACUUUCUUGAGGGAUGUUAGAUUUGACAAUAACAAUUUAAAUGAAAGUCUACCAACUGAUUUUAUCAACAGGCUUCCAUAACUUGGAAAUCUCACUUUAUGCAACAAUCAAUUUGAAGAACCAUUCCAAGAUCAAUUGACAACUCACAUUGAUGCACUCUUAGAUUUUACAUCAAAGAGAUUAUUGAUGAACCAUUCCUAGAUCAACAUGGGAUGUCUCUUUCCUAAUCAAAAUUUUAAUCAAAAUUCGUAGAUCAACAUGGUAAAUUAUAUGAUAGAAAAAUAUUCUUUUUUUUAAAGGAUGGAAAAUAAAAUAUUAUUAACAAUUCAUAUUAAUAUUGUAAAACAACUUAUUUUAUAAGACAAUUUUAUUUUUAGUGAUGAAGGUAGUAUUUAACUAUUUAUUUUGAUUGGGUGUUCGAACUAUCCUGAUUAAGUAUUUGUCUUUCCUUUUUUUUCAUUGUUAAAUUAAAGGUGAUAACCAGCUUUCAGGUAAGAUUUUGUCGUUGACAACAAUGUCUGUUUUGCGAAAUCCGUAUUUCUAAGAUUUUAUUUAAGAUUGGCCGCAAUCCAAUUUUUUUUUAAAUUUCCAUAAAACUAUAUAUCUCUUUCCAAUUUAUUAUCACUAUAAUAUUCAAAUUUUAGUUUAAGACUGUAACAAAAAAAAAAUUUAGUUUAAGAUGUAAUAGAUCCCACAAGUCACAAAAAGAGCGGUUGAGGCAUCAUAACACUGGUGGUUCGAUUAACUUAUAAGUCAUCUAUUAUUAGCUAUCAACUAACUUAUUAUGAAUAUGAAAUUAAAUGAAAAACAUUUUUUUUUCAAUUAAGACAACAGUUGUAAAAGUUAGAAAAAAAUGACAAGCUUAAAGCUAGUAAACUUUUUAGUUAUGAACUCGUAAUCAAAUAACGGUUACCAAAUAUAUCUUUUUUAAUUAGUCAUAUGAGCUUAUAAGUUAUAAUCUAUUGAUUAUAAGAUAACUUAUUGCUUGCUAAAAAGUCUCAUAAUUCUUCUUAACUCGUAAAAGAAUUUCUUAGUAAAAAUACAAAAUUAAAAGUAUUUGCCUUAUAGGAUCCUCAAUUCUUUCACCGCUUGUUUGGAAAAAAAUAAUCCCAAUCUGUGACAAUAGACUAGUUAAUAAAUAUAUCUAUUUUAUUUAUAAUUUAAAUUUUAUUCAAAAAGAAAGGAAAAGAAAAAAUAAGGACAUGCAUAAACAUAUUUUAUUUAGAACACUCUCGAAAUAUCAUCCCUACGUUUUUAACCAAUAAGGAAACACACUAAAUAGUGUUGAUUCCUACAAUCCCAACUAGCAUAUUUUAGUCAGAAUACUCGUAAAAGAAUUUUUUAGCAAAAUAUUACUAACACCAAUACCAAGCACAAGACGUACAAGAUAUCCUCAAUUACAAGAUGACACAAGCGAAUCAGCAGAUACAUCGCUUAAACCUGUAAAAUCGCUAACCAAAUACAGACAAAGCAGCAUAACACCAAAUAAUUCCAAUCCAAAAAUAGAAAAUGAGUCAAGAUCACAACAUGUCAAGUCAGAAAAUUUGAUGACUUGUCCGAAUAAAUAAAUAAAUAUUAAAUGUGAUAUUAAUGUUACACACAUGCAGGUGAAAUUCCAUCGCUUGACAACAUGACAUCUUUGAGGGUGGUCGAAUUUGGCUUUAACAAUUUAAAUGGAAGACUACCAAAUGAUUUUUUCAAUCAGCUUCCUCAACUCGAAUAUUGUAUUUUAAACAACAAUCAAUUUGAAGGAAGCAUUCCACGAUCAAUUGGUAACUGCACAUCGUUGAUACACAUAUAUUUAGCAUCAAACUUUUUGACAGGUAUGUUUUAUUUUCUAUCUCGACAUAUUUACCCGAAAUAAGAUGCUUAUUGAUCAUUUUCAAUUAUUUUACAUUUCAUAGAAGCAUUUAAAAAGCAUUCAUUUAUUUAUUUUUAUUGAAUUUUAUCUUUUUAUUUUAGAAUCAUUUUCUCUUAAUAUUCUUAAAUAAAAUAGUCUCUUAAUUGAAAAUGUUCUUUAAUAUGAACAACUUUUCGUAAAAAAAUGCAUAGUUAACCCUUAAGAAAUAGAAUUAAAAAUUCAGAAUAAAUUAUUUUCAUAAUUUUCUCAUCACUAGAUUUAAUGACGUGUGUAUAUGUGUGUAGUUGGAUAAUAAAGUGUUAAGUCCAAUGAAAUAAUAAGUGGUUUAGUCUAAGUGUGUUUGGUAUGGCGGCGGUAAGAAUUGAUUUUGAUAAAAUUGAGUUUAUGAGAAUUGAUUUUGGUUAAAAGUGAGUUGGAUAUGAAUGAAUUAUGUUUGGAUACAUUUAUUUAAAAUUGAUUCUUAUGAGUUGAUGUUGUUUGGAUAAUUUGAAUCAAAAUAUAUAUUGAACAUUAAAUGACCAACUUACCCUUUUAAUUUAUUUAAAUUAUAACCCUUUUUUAACAUUAUUUUAUUUCUUUUUUCAUUAAGUUAACUUUUUUUUGAAGAAUUCAUUAAGUUAAUUUAACUUUUGGAUCACUGAUAAUAAAAAUAAGCUACGACCAACCCAACUUUGAACCAAAAAAAAUGACUUUUUUUUUCACAACAAAAGAAACUUAAUUAUGACCCAACCCAAUAAAAAAGAAACGGAAAGAAAUAAAUGCAAGAAAUCUGCUCUUUAUCCAAACAUUUUUGCUCGUUUCUAAAGUAAAUAUCAAAAAUACCCUUACACAUGUUAACUUAACUCACGUGAGUUAACCCACGUUAGUUUUAAUUUCUACGUGAGUUAACUCACGUUAAUUUUAAACAAUGACUCCAAGGCACCCCUUUUGCUGAUACAACAACCACGGCUCCAACCAAAAUUGUGCUACUUUUUUUUUUUUUUUUUUUUUAAACAAUGACUCAAAGGCACUCCUACUGCUUCUUCUGGUAUUGUGGCUACUUAAGUUUAGAAAAUGUAUAUCAUAUCGUACUCUCAAGAAGAUUGUGUAAUGGCGUUUGUCCAGGAAACUUGGUGAGAAUUUAUUUUGUCAUUGAUCUAAGAUAUUUUAUAUGCGAAGAUGAAUCUAGCUUUCAAUUAGAACAAAAACCCCAAAUCAUUUUUUUACAAUCUUUUGCAUGCAAUUUGUCUUUCACACGUUCCCGAUAAUCCUUGUCUCAAGCAUCAUUAUUGAUUGAAGAACAACAAACAUAUGCUUUGGUUGGUGCUUGAUAUCAGUGGUGCUUGUAGUUCUCUCUUCAUUCUGAUUUACUAAAUUGCUUUAGUAUAGAUUGUAGAGCAAGAUGAUGAUAUAUGAGCAGGACUUUUACACAUACAAAGAUGAUACAAUUUGUUCCUGUAUGUGGUUGGCCCUGUGUUAUUUUGAACAGUAUUAUCAGAGAUUGAUGCCUUCAAUUUACUAUGUAGCUUUGUUUGUCUUGGAACUAACAAUUUCCAGAUAGGGAUGCUAAUAGUUUUUCAGUCUGGAUUAUGGCAAUGCAACACAUUUCAAGAGUUGUUGUUAAACUUGGUUAGUUAUUAGUAAGGUUUUUUGAGCAAUCUUCAAAAGUUGUUGUUAAACUUGGUUAGUAAUUUUAAUAAGGUUUAUUGAGCAAUCACAUGGUUUGUUGUGGAACCUUUAUCUUUUAGGAGCAUAUGACUGUUGAGCCAAAACAACUGAAAUUGUUGCGUUUUACUCUAUUGGAGGGUUUUCCUAGGUUUGCCUUGGAGUCAUUGUUUAAAAUUAACGUGAGUUCACGUAGAAAUUAAAACUAGCGUGAGUUAACAUGCGUAGGAGUAUUUUGGUCAUUUACUCUGGGAAUGAACAAAAGUGUUUGGGUAAAGAGUAGAAUUCUAACUGCAACCCAAUUAACUAAAAAAUAAUUUAUCUUGAUUUGUACCCUCUACUGUGUAUCUCUUCCGUUUUUCCACAACUGGUACAAUGGUUCACACCCUUUAUCUCUCAAUAUUGUUUCUUUUUCCUGCAUCCCUCCAUAAUUUCCUUCCAUUCUACAAUUUCUUCAUCAUUUAGUACUUAUGUUAUGGCCUUCAAUUUAGAUAGGGAAAUUCAGAUCAAUGUUGUUGUAAGUUUCAGAAGUAAAAUUCAACAAGUAGUUGGUGUGAAUACUGAAUCUGGGUGAAGUGAAGAAGAAAGUUAUGGAUAAUUUGGUAAAUAACACCAAUCACAGAAAGUUAAAAUCCCAACUUGAUUUUGCUUUGUCGUGGAAGCUUCAAUUUGUAGCUUUGGCAUGACCUACGUUUGGGGAUAGAAUCACGUCGCCCAGAAUCGAUUUUCAUGUUAUCCAAACAACACACUUUUCGUUCAAACCGUGUUUGAGCAUAACGUGCUUUUGGCUACAGAAAACGUGUAACCAAACAAGCACUAAAAAGGUUCUAGAGAGGUGUAGAAGUCGGUUAGUAGUAUAAAAACAGAGUAUUAAACGUAUGCAGCAGAGAGAAGUGUCUAGAACUCUCUCGUGAAAUGCGUAGAAUAUUAUUUUAUGAUGUGUGCAUAACUCUUCCUUAGCAAUGUCUUUCUUAGACCUCUGGUACCUUCUCCAUUGAGUCCUUGUCAUGGGAUUCUUUCCCUUGUAGUUGUUGCUAUAAGCAUACUUUUUCAACUCAAAGGUAGUACAAUUUUUGUUGUUAUCAACAACACUGAUGCUUCUUUUCACCACAUUGUUCUUCCCAUGUUGCACAUUCUUAUGGGUAGACUGAACCCAUUUCUGGUUGGGUGCAUAAGGAACCAAAGUUUUUCGUUGACCACUCUUAUUGACAUAAUUGAUGGUCGAAGAGUUAUUGAUGAAAGGAAUAUAACUCUUUGUAAAGAAAAACUUAGGUCUAUGAUCACCAUACCAUUUGCCCCUUUUCUUAGGUUUUGGGAUAGAAUCUUCGAGGCCUUUAGUUGCCUCUUUGUCAAAUACAGCACUACAUCUAGGGCAGACCAUUACCUCAAAAUUCUUCUUCAUCUGUAGGGUAGGUUGUCUUUAACUUAUCGUCAAACUGAAGCUCUGGAGUAGUCUCUUCGACGUGUUCUACAUCUUUAGUGAUGUCCACCAUUUGACAUUCUGCAAUAUCAGUUUUUGUUUCCACUUCUGCUUCGACAGAUAGGUUUUCAACAACAUCAAUAAUUGAGUCGACCAUAUUGCAGUCUGCAAUGUCAGUGUACAUCAUACUCGCAUCUUUCAAAGGAUCAGAGUCUAAUUGCAUUUGAGGCUUUGGCUUUUUUCCAAAUUUCAAUCUGCCUUCAUUGAGACCCUUCUGAACCAAAUCCCUGAGAAGGGAACAUCGAUAGGUGUUAUGUCCCAUAAAAUUAUGGUAUUUACAAAAAUCUCUUUUCUGACGUUGUUCUAGUGGUGGGGUUUUUACAUCCUUAGGUGCUACCACUUGACCAUCAGCAACUAAGAGAUCAUAAAUCUUGUCGCAUUUGAUUACGUCGAAUGUAUAUGUUUUUGGAACAUAUCUUUCAUUGCUUGGUUCGAUAUGAUUAUUCCCAUCAGAGGGCUUUAACGAUUUACACGUAUAAGGGGGCCUGUCUUAGUUCAGCAAUGUCAACCUCCUUUGUUUCGACAUCGCCGAAAGCUAUGUCAAAUUCUUGGUUGCUUUCAUCUGAUUCAAUAUAAGCAACCUUUUCUCUUUUGUGAUAUUUCUAAGUUCUGGCCUUUUCAUCUUCAGCCAUAUUGAGGAUUACAAAGUCAGCAGGAAAUAUUAGAUCAUUAACCUUCACAAGCACAUCUUCAAGUACACCAAAGGGAUAAGAAAUUGACCGAUCAGCUAGAGUGAGGGUCAUUCUUGUUGGUUUUGGCUCUCCUCCUCCAAUUUUCUUCAUCAUUGAAAGGGGCAUCAAAUUGAUACUGGCCCCUAAAUCACAUAAAGCUCUCCCAAUGCCUACCGGCCCAAUGGAGCAAGUAAUAGUAAAAGCACCAUGAUCUUUAAGCUUAGGAGGAUGUUUGCUUUGAAGAAUAGCACUACAAUUCUCGGAAAGAGAAAUGUUCUCAUCAUCUUUUGGCUUUCUUCUCCCCGUUAACAUUUCUUUCAUGAAUUUAGCAUGAACCGACAUUUGAUCGAGAGCUUCACCAAAAGGAAUAUUCACCUGAAGUUGUGAGAAGAGUUGCAUGAAUUUCUUGAUUGUCCUUCCUCCUUCUUCUUCUUUUGGGCUAGAUGAGGGUAUGGAAGCUUCACAUAAGAUGGAAUAAUUUGUGGUUUAUCCCCAUCCUUCAAAAUUUGGCUCUUAGACUUUCUCAAGAUCGAGUCUUCAUCUAUUAACUUCUCACUUUUUUCUCCCUCUGUUUUUUUCUUCCUUUCAUUUUCAACUACACCUUGAUCACUCUCUUUUUCAACUUCAACAUAUUCAGUUUCUUUUUCAACUACUUCCUCAACUUCAUCAUCUUCUUUUACCUCUACAACCUUUUCAUCAUCCUUCUUAGGAACUUUAGGAACUAAAGGUGUCAAAACCUUUUUGCUCCUCAACUCAAUAGCAUUGCAAGUCUCAUUUUUAGGGUUCUCCUUAGUAUUACCUGAGAAUCCCCCUUUGUUCUGUUCAGCCAACUGCUUAGCUAAUUGCCCAAGUUGUGUUUCAAGCAAUUUCCUUGAGGCUUCAUUGUUCUUCCUUUCAAGAUCUUGACUCUUCUUCAUUUCUUCAAUGUUGCUUUGAGUCAUUUUCAUGAAAUUCAUCAUUGUUUCCUCAAGACCUGAAGGCUUUCUUUGUUGUUGUUGUUGUUGAGGAUUAGGCAUCAAAGGAUUUAAGGUGUUGUUGUUGGAGUAACUCAAGUUAGGGUGCUUGUUCAUGGAGUAAGGGUUUUACCUCUGAUAGUUCACAUAGUUGGCUUCUUCACUAGCUCCCUCAUGUACACACUCACCAUUAGGAUGGCCCUCACCAUACAAAUCACACCGUAUUGCAGCUGCUUGUUGUUUGUUAGACAAUUGGUAAGCAUGUACCUCCUUGGUUAGAGUUUCGAUUUGCUUAUUCAUGGCUGCUUGAUUAGCUAGUAUGGAAGUAGUGUCACUUACCCCAAAAACACCUCUUUCUUUCUUUUUUGCUUCAGCAUGGUACUCAUUGCUGGCCAAGUUUUCAAUUAGAGUUUGAGCUUCGUGAUCAGUUUUUACCCUUAGACUACCUCCAGCUAAGGCAUCUAGAAACAUUCUGUCGCUAUGAGUUAACCCUUCAGUGAAGAAUUGGAGAUAUUGUUUAUCAGAAAACUCAUGGCCUGGACAUCUCUUCAGUAACAAAUUGAAUCUUUCGCAAGCAUCAUAAAGUGAUUCACCUUCACCUUGCUAAAAGCUUGCUAUUUCUUGCUUCUUAUCCAAGUACUUGGACAUAGGGAAAUACUUUACCGGUUAAAGUGAACGGGAAUAGCCUGAGUUUCUUUUGGUCUUCAGUAACAUUUGCUGGAGGAACACAAAACUCACAAGUUUCAGCAAAGUGGCUUAGAUGUUCAUGAGGGCUGAUGGUCUCGAUACCAUCAAAUUGUCUUUCCUUCAAUCCAUUCUGAACUGAUGCUUUGAUGUCAAAAGCAACAGGAUUAGCAGGUCGGAACACAUGAGUUAGGCGACCACGGUGAUUUGCUAGCCCAUAAUCUCCCAACUUAGGCCUUGCUGCUGGUGGGUUAACCUCUUCCAUUGUGAUUAACUUAGGAGAGGUGGUUGUUUUAGUUUCAAUAAGUGUCGGAUCUGGUAAUGUGUGUGUGUACCCAGUGGAACUGACUUAGAUAACCAGACAACUUUCCGGUUAGCUCUUGCAGUCCUUUCGAUCUCAGGAUCGUACUCGAGGUCUUCGGAACUACGUCUACAUCGCAUAAACAGCAAAAUACCUCAGUAGCACUGCACAAUACAAAAUAAUUAAUGAAUACUGAAACAAGAAAUAAUUUUUAAAACAGAAAAUAAAUUGCAGAAAUCCUAAAUUAAAACGCAAUUGCCUUGUUGAAAUAAAUCAACAGUCCCCGGCAGCAGCGCCAAAAACUUGAUAGAUAUUUGGCAAGUGUACCAAUAACUAUCGAAGUAGUAAUAAAUAUCGUUCCACAAGGAUUGUAUUAAUUCCAAUUAUAGCAAGUACGUUAUUAUUUUAGGAUAUGUAAAAGUUAUUUUCAUUGCCAUAAGCAGAUGAUUUUUGUGUAACAAACGUAAGUAAAAAGUGUUGAAAAGAUGAUUAAAGAAGAAUGAUUAAGCCGAUGAAUCCCCUAUUGUUCUUUAUUAGUAUUUACCUCCCUUAUUUACUAAUUACUAUUCAUUCUUUACGACAAAUUAACAAAUUGGUUUUGAUCAAUCUCUUGAAUCAAAACCCUUUCCUAAGUUAUAACCUUUUAAUCUCUUAAACCGAUUGAAUAAUCGCGGAAGCGAUGUUAGGAUGUUAAUUCAUAUGUCAUGAUUCUCAAUUUCCUAUCUCUAGCUUCCUAUGUUGAAUCAAACAGAAUUACUAAUUCAGGAUUAAAAGCUAGGGUUAGUAGUCAUUCAAUUCCUAAUAUCAAUUCAUAUAAAUUCAAGAAGCUAGGGUUAAUAGUCAUACAAGCAAUUAUAUGAAAGCAAUAAACACAAGUGAUUCUGAAUAAAGACUGAAUAAUAUAUUAAAUAAGAGAGUAUCAACUACUAAACCAUAUAUUACAAAGGUUCAUCAUGGCUCAAUCAUACCAAGAGUUUAGCUACUCAUGGUUUUACGAUUAUAAACAUAAAUAAGAGUGAACAUACAUAAAUCUGGACCAACUAUGAGUUGGUAUGAGAUUCAGGGCUUGUUCUUCAGUCUCCUGGUGUCUUCUAUGCUCAAAAUCGCACUUCACAAUCGAUACCCCAUUCUUCGCCGCAACUGGCUUUAUAUAGAAAAAAUUUAGGGUUCCAGAAAAGCCCAUCAUCGUGCCACGAUACGAUCCAAUCGUGGCACGAUUGCUUCACUAAUCCUAUGUGGCAGCAGACAAAACCUAGCAUCGUGGCACGUUACAUAUUACUUCAUGCCACGAAAUUUCCAGCGCUCAAACCUUUGUCCCACGUUCACCUAUCGUGCCACGAACAAGCUCCAUCGUGGCACGAUGAUUCACUCUUAGGAAUUUUUUCAUCUUUUUCUCAGUUUCUUCUCUUUGAGCUCUUGUUCCUGUUUUGGUCUGAUUUAACAAUGAUUUACAAGCAGUUGUCUCUCUAGAUGUCAUAAAAAUGACAUAAACAUAACUAAAAACUAGUGUUGAUGCAACAUCAUCAGGAACACCAGCGGUGAAUAGGGGUAUAAAGAAACACAAAGAUAAAGAGAGAGAGAGAGAGAGAGAGAGAGAGAGAGAGCAAAUAUAAAGCAAUUAUACUGGUUCCCCCUACAAUCCAAGAGUAGUUUAAUCCUAUUGCACUAUGAUGGUCGGAUUAUAUAGGCAAGUGUACCAAAUCAUUUACCAAAUAAUAAAGUGAUAAGUAGAGUAUCAUAUCCACAGUGAUUGUCGUUUCGUCUAAACAAUUCACAUUACUUAUUUGAGAACAAUAAAAUAAAUAAAGAAAGAAGGGUUUAGAGUUUUUCAAUUUAAUCUGUUUGCAUAAGAGAAAAGUUACUUGUUUGAUUGCAGAAUGUUAGCGACGGUUAGGAUUCAAUCCACUCUAUUUAUUUCUUGGAACUAACUAACAGUCAAGUCAAAUUCAGUAUUCUAAGUCAACUAUCUAAGUGAUGAGUUUGUCGGGACGUGAUAACCUACUCAGUAUGUCAAGUUGCGCCUGGUGGUCGCAUAGUGAAUAUUACGUGCGGGGUCUUACUCUCUCAGUCGAUUUCGGUUUAUCCUUCCACCUGUUGCGUUGUACCUGCUGGUCACACGGUGAUCCUUAUGUGUAGGGUCUUACUCCCUUAGGGGUAAUUGAAACAUAAACUUAAAUUAGAAUUCCUAAAUUUCUAAAGGUAUGAUGACCAUUGUUACUCAAGGUUCUCUCAUAUAUGAAUCUAAGAAGUACAUAGAACACUCUAUCUCUCGGUAGUUCUACAAACAGGCAGCCCUAUCAGUGUCUACCUUACCAAGGUGCGAGGAGAAUGGACUUAUUGGGUUGAUUUAAGUGGUGAAGUCACUUGUUUCCUCAAUUACUAACUAGUUACUAACUAAUUACUUUCUGGUUAUGCAGAUAUAAAUAUCAAUAUUAGGCCAUGUCACUACCUAAGUGCCUAAAUCAGGUUUAUGCUUCAGAAGAGACAAAUCUUACGCACUAUAGUAAAACUAAAUAGUAAAUAGAAAAUAACUGAAUAAAGGACAUUAAAUCAAAUAGUUAUCCAACAAACAGAAUAGAGGUUCAUCUUAGAACCCUAGCAUAAAAAGAUUUAGUUACCCAUGAUAACUAAAAACAAGUUACAAAAGAAAUAAAAUAUACCCAAGAAAAACCUUGAGUGGGGAGAGAGACUCCUCCCUUGAAGCACCUAGUGCUUCCUUCCUCAUGAGAGAGCUGGGAGGAGCAAGGCCCCCCAUUUCAUGUGCCAAGUGCCCCUGUGCAUGUUUCUAGGCACCUGGCACCCCUAUCUGUGCGCUUGGUAGUGCCGAUGAUGUUGAAAUCGUCGGUUUCUUCACCUUUUCGGGUGUUUGCUUCUAUGUAAGAUGUCCUCUAUAACACCCUAUUUCUAUUAAAGUGAUAAAAAAAACGUGAAUAAAGCAUAUAUUCAAGAAAUAGACACUACGUCUUCAACAAAAACCAAACAUACAUGCAUACAUAAAUAUUCUCAACAGUCGUAGCGGAUAUAAAUCAUACAUCUCCAAAAAUAUCAUCAAUACAUGAAAUCUCCAAAACCUGGCAUAUGUGCAAAGUCUCCAUAAUACAAAUCCAGCAUAAACAAUCUAGAAUAAUCAUAAAGACAAAUAUCCUAGAUCAGAGCCUACCCCAAGACUCAAGAGGAAACGAUAACGGAGAUAGCUCCCGCUAUCCAAGCAAUCCCCAAGCAACUCACCAAAUGCAAACUAAUCCUGCACUUCGUCUACCCAUUCAUACAAACAGGUAGGCGAUCAAAAACCACUGGGGGUAAGAUUUACAUCAAUCAGAAUCCAAAUAACAAGUAUGGAAAAGUAAGCAUGUUAAUCCGUAACAUUAGAGAUAAUCAACAACAAAUAUGUAUACUACAUUCAAUUAGAUGGUCACAACAUUCCACAAUUACAUAAAUGCAUAAAUCAACAACAUCACAUAUGCACUUAUGACACUAUCUAUCAAUUAUCUAAACAUAUAUAUGCAAUGUUCUAGACUCAUCUUGAUGCAUGUGGUACCGUCAUGUCCAAUGUCUAGGCCGUCACCCAUGAUGCAACAAAAACAUCAAAUGUAAGGUUACACUCCCGUCUUACAUUACUCUGAAGUAAAGGUUCACACCCUUUACCACCAAAUGCUUAUGAUGCAUGGACAUACAAGUAAGACUCGACAAUGCAACUACGCAACAACAACAAUGUAGGAGAUCACCUCCGACUACAUUGAACAACUCCAACUACAUUUGAAUUACCAAGUAUUCAUGUCCACACAACAGUAAGACACAAUCCAAACAAUAAUCAUCACCACCUAUCAUUAUCAACAUGAUUAUGAUCACAAGUAUCAACCAAUGUCAUCACGAUUAUUCAAUUACUCACAAUUCAAGUAAAGGAGGGAAUACAACGCACUAUGAUAAACAUCAUGUUCAUCACAUAGAGAUCAUUCACAUAUCUUCAUAUAAUCAUAUAAGGCUAUUCACAAAAGAUUUAUAAGGUAAUCGGUCUUAGAGAUUAUUUUCGACAAGAUUCGUCUCUCAUUUUGCAACUUUAAAUUAAUUGAGACUCUAGGGCCUCGACUAUGUAUACACUUAGAUCACAUAUGAGUGUAGUUGAAUAUACAUGCGUGUUUCACUGGCCGACUACGAGAAAAUCAUCAAAAUCAUAAAGUUACGACAAGUUCGUAUCAUUUUACUCAUAAUGCAAAACUAAUUCAUUUUCAAAACAAAACCAAGUUAGAUCCUUACAAUAUAGGUUAAAUAUUCUUAAACAACUUAAUUGAACUCAUAGUACACAAGUUUUGAAGUUGGAAACAAUCCAUAAGUUUUGGGUUGACUUAGAAUUAGUUAUGCGGAAUUUUCAUAAAAUUUCACUCAAACCUCCUUAGAGUAUUUUCGUCAUAACUCAAAAAUCAAAAAUCAUUUUAAAGUCAAACCAAAGCCACUAGAAAGCUAACACAAUUAUAUAAAACAUUCAUGUUUACACCAAAGGUCAAUUCAAAAUAUAAAUGUGUGAAAAAGACGCAAGAACGCGAAACAGGGGAUGCUGUCACUGUGCAGCUCGCCCCGGCAAGUGAAUCACUCGCCUUGGCGAGUUGACACACAGAAAGCACCUCCUACUCGCCUCCAACUCUCCAUGGCGAGUUGUGACAAGUUGCUGGAGUUCUGCUUCGGAGAAAACCCAUUUUUCACCCCAAAAUCCCACUUUUGACUCCCCAAUGUCCAAAUUUGAUCCAAAGUUUGUCUAAACGUUUCUAAACAUGAAAAGACACUCAAAUCCAUAUAAAAACUUGAAUCAAACUUCAUUUUAACAAAAAUCACCACUUGAUCCAUUUUUCAAGAAAACUUCAAGAACAACACAAAUUCACUUCAAGUUAUAUGGUUAAGAUUACCCAAGGUUUCAAUCAUCAACAACAACUACUCAUAAUCACAACAACAACAAUCAAAAGUGAAUUCAUCAACAAUUCAUCAACAACAACAUUAUACUUCAUCAAUUUUGAGAAAAAACACAAGUAUACACAUAUAUACAUAACUUAUUAUUAUUUUCAACAUAUAUAUCAACAUUACUGUAAUGUUUUUAUCAAAUAUCUUUUUAUUCUAUAUGUGAAACAGCGUUAAAUAUUUGAACCGCACUCGUUGCAGGUUUUAUGUGCUUAUUGCAUAAAUAAAUUUUUAUGUUUUAAUAUUAGGAAAUCGAAUCAAUAUAAUAAAAUUUUAAAAAUUCAUGAGAUAUGAUAAAAUUUUGAAUACUCAUGACUAUUUUCAAAACUUCAAUAUGUAUGUAGUAUUUUUAAUAAAUGUAAAUUAAUGAGAUUAAUAGAUUGAAAAAGAUUAGAAUAAAUUGUUUUCCUACAUCAGCGUCAUAAGAGAGGAGAAAAAAUUGUUUAUGACAUAAGAGAUGAAACAAGUCGCAUGUGGAUGGGUGAUUUUUUCCCUUCUUCAUUUUAAUAAUAAUGGAUGGCGAAACGACGAUCACUUACCGGCUCAAAAUUAAUCACCAUCCUAGUAACUUAGUAAAAUAAUGGUUCUCACUUGAAACAUUAAAAAAAAUAAUCCUCACCAUGAAAUUACUAAAUUACCCUUACUUACAAAAUGACCAAACUACCCUUUUUGCACUAAAAUCCAUUAUAAUGCACCCAAUGAUAAAUAAUCACACAUAAGGACAUAUAAACACAUAUUAAAAUAAUUAAAAAUAAAUCUAACGAAAAUCGGGCUGUUUCAUCCUCGAACAUAGGAACAAAAUUCCUCCCUUUCUAAGGCCUCAUAAGGUCUCUUGAAUCUUCAUUCUUCAUCUUCCCAAGAUCUUCUAUCAAAUCUGUGGAUGUCUUGCUUUGCCGAUAUGCAUGAUCUCUUCGUGAAUUUACCACAAAUUAAACAUCAUAAAAUUGCUAUGUUUUGGGAAUAAUAGAAUUACAAACUCAAAUAUAGAAAACAUUACAAAUGUUUCGAAAUCAAAAGUAAUUGAUCUAAUAUUCCUCCAUUCUGCUUGUAAAACCUAUUGAAAUUGAUUGAAAAACAUGCUAAAAAUAACGUAAUUUGACCUGUCAUCACAGCCCCAAACUUAACUUGUUGUUUAUCCUCAAUUAUCGAAAGAAAAACAUAUUUUAUUCUUUGCAUUUUUUCAGGAAUGUACUUGCAAAAGUACAAUAAUCAAUAUUAUAGGGUUUAAUAUUUUAUUGAUCAUGCCUUGAGAAGGCUUUAAAGGGUGGUAUUUAUAGCCCUUUGUGGGCCUGUUUUAUCGUGACUUAAGCUUCAAGUAAUGAGGGUACUUAAGUCUUUCUGCCGAGCUCUAGAGGCUUCUAGAAGUUGGUUGAGGCGGCACCCUGGGGAGGGUACUAAAUAGUAAAUAGAAAAUAACUACAUAAAAGACAUUUGCCCACUCUAGUCAUCACAUGAAUGUACCUUGCUAUAAAUUUGAAACAAUUCUAAACAGACAGUCAAAAUCAAAUUAUAUACACACUUUGAGGAUUUUAAGGGUUGUAAUGUGGCUUAGGUUAAGGGUGGAUAUAUUUGGGAAAGUAGACUAACAAAGCAACUUGGAGUUAGAUUAUCUACCUAGGGAUUCCCACUAAACAUUUAUGCGCUGCCAACCUUCAAUUUAGUUCUUCUGCCACAUCAUCAUUUUGGUUAACAGAAGGACUAAAUUGAAUUUUUUUACAAACUUAAAGGACUUAUGCGUGACCAAAAUAAUUUAAAGGACCAAUCUGCUACAAACCUCAAACUUAAAGGACUUAUGUGUGAUCAAAAUAACUUAAAGGACCAAUUUGUUACAAAUCUCAAACUUAAAGGACCCCGAGUGUAGUUUAGCCUAUUAAAUAUUUUGUUAUUUAAUAUAUAAAACACCGUUAUAUAUUUCAAUCACGUUAAUUGCGGGUUUUAUGUGUUUAUAUCUUCCGAGGUAUAUUUUAAUGAUAUGAUAAAAUAUUAAAAACUUAUGACUAUUUUUAAAAUAUCAACAUUGAUGUAGUGUUUCUAAUAAAAAGUAUUAUAUGAAAAAUGUAGUUAAAUAUUUACACCACAUUCAUUGCGGAUUUUAUUUGCUUAUAUUUGCAUAAGCAAUUUUUUUUAUAUAUAUCACUGAUAAUAUUUUAAAAACUUAUGACUAUUUUUAUCAUGUCAACAUUAUAUUAAAUAUUUUGUUAUUUAAUAUGCAAAACACAGUUAAACAUUUACACCACGCUGGUUACAGAUUUUAUGUGGUUAAAUAUGCGAAAACAGUUUUUUUAUGUAUCGAUAUGAGAAAAUUUUGAAAACUUAUUAUUAUUUUCAACAUAUAUAUUAACAUUACUGUAGUGUUUUUAUCAAAUAUCUUUUUAUUCUAUAUGUGAAACACCGUUAAAUAUUUGUACCGCACUCGUUGCAGAUUUUAUGUGCUUAUUGCAUAAAUAAAUUUUUAUGUUUUAAUAUUAGGAAAUCGAAUCAAUAUAAUAAAAUUUUAAAAAUUCAUGAGAUAUGAUAAAAUUUUGAAUACUCAUGACUAUUUUCAAAACAUCAAUAUGUAUGUAGUAUUUUUAAUAAAUGUAAAUUAAUGAGAUUAAUAGAUUGAAAAAGAUUAGAAUAAAUUGUUUUCCUACAUCAGCGUCAUAAGAGAGGAGAAAAAAUUGUUUAUGACAUAAGAGAUGAAACAAGUCGCAUGUGGAUGGGUGAUUUUUUCCCUUCUUCAUUUUAAUAAUAAUGGAUGGCGAAACGACGAUCACUUACCGGCUCAAAAUUAAUCACCAUCCUAGUAACUUAGUAAAAUAAUGGUUCUCACUUGAAACAUUAAAAAAAAUAAUCCUCACCAUGAAAUUACUAAAUUACCCUUACUUACAAAAUGACCAAACUACCCUUUUUGCACUAAAAUCCAUUAUAAUGCACCCAAUGAUAAAUAAUCACACAUAAGGACAUAUAAACACAUAUUAAAAUAAUUAAAAAUAAAUCUAACGAAAAUCGGGCUGUUUCAUCCUCGAACAUAGGAACAAAAUUCCUCCCUUUCUAAGGCCUCAUAAGGUCUCUUGAAUCUUCAUUCUUCAUCUUCCCAAGAUCUUCUAUCAAAUCUGUGGAUGUCUUGCUUUGCCGAUAUGCAUGAUCUCUUCGUGAAUUUACCACAAAUUAAACAUCAUAAAAUUGCUAUGUUUUGGGAAUAAUAGAAUUACAAACUCAAAUAUAGAAAACAUUACAAAUGUUUCGAAAUCAAAAGUAAUUGAUCUAAUAUUCCUCCAUUCUGCUUGUAAAACCUAUUGAAAUUGAUUGAAAAACAUGCUAAAAAUAACGUAAUUUGACCUGUCAUCACAGCCCCAAACUUAACUUGUUGUUUAUCCUCAAUUAUCGAAAGAAAAACAUAUUUUAUUCUUUGCAUUUUUUCAGGAAUGUACUUGCAAAAGUACAAUAAUCAAUAUUAUAGGGUUUAAUAUUUUAUUGAUCAUGCCUUGAGAAGGCUUUAAAGGGUGGUAUUUAUAGCCCUUUGUGGGCCUGUUUUAUCGUGACUUAAGCUUCAAGUAAUGAGGGUACUUAAGUCUUUCUGCCGAGCUCUAGAGGCUUCUAGAAGUUGGUUGAGNNNNNNNNNNNNNNNNNNNNNNNNNNNNNNNNNNNNNNNNNNNNNNNNNNNNNNNNNNNNNNNNNNNNNNNNNNNNNNNNNNNNNNNNNNNNNNNNNNNNNNNNNNNNNNNNNNNNNNNNNNNNNNNNNNNNNNNNNNNNNNNNNNNNNNNNNNNNNNNNNNNNNNNNNNNNNNNNNNNNNNNNNNNNNNNNNNNNNNNNNNNNNNNNNNNNNNNNNNNNNNNNNNNNNNNNNNNNNNNNNNNNNNNNNNNNNNNNNNNNNNNNNNNNNNNNNNNNNNNNNNNNNNNNNNNNNNNNNNNNNNNNNNNNNNNNNNNNNNNNNNNNNNNNNNNNNNNNNNNNNNNNNNNNNNNNNNNNNNNNNNNNNNNNNNNNNNNNNNNNNNNNNNNNNNNNNNNNNNNNNNNNNNNNNNNNNNNNNNNNNNNNNNNNNNNNNNNNNNNNNNNNNNNNNNNNNNNNNNNNNNNNNNNNNNNNNNNNNNNNNNNNNNNNNNNNNNNNNNNNNNNNNNNNNNNNNNNNNNNNNNNNNNNNNNNNNNNNNNNNNNNNNNNNNNNNNNNNNNNNNNNNNNNNNNNNNNNNNNNNNNNNNNNNNNNNNNNNNNNNNNNNNNNNNNNNNNNNNNNNNNNNNNNNNNNNNNNNNNNNNNNNNNNNNNNNNNNNNNNNNNNNNNNNNNNNNNNNNNNNNNNNNNNNNNNNNNNNNNNNNNNNNNNNNNNNNNNNNNNNNNNNNNNNNNNNNNNNNNNNNNNNNNNNNNNNNNNNNNNNNNNNNNNNNNNNNNNNNNNNNNNNNNNNNNNNNNNNNNNNNNNNNNNNNNNNNNNNNNNNNNNNNNNNNNNNNNNNNNNNNNNNNNNNNNNNNNNNNNNNNNNNNNNNNNNNNNNNNNNNNNNNNNNNNNNNNNNNNNNNNNNNNNNNNNNNNNNNNNNNNNNNNNNNNNNNNNNNNNNNNNNNNNNNNNNNNNNNNNUUGUGCAAGCAACUAAUGGAUUCAAUGAGAGUAAUUUCCUUGGAAGGGGGGGAUUUGGCUCUGUUUAUCAUGGGAAGCUUCUUGAUGGUGAGAUGAUUGCAGUUAAAGUAAUUGAUUUGCAAUCAGAGGCAAAAUCAAAGAGCUUUGAUGUAGAAUGCAAUGCGAUGAGAAAUCUACGACAUCGAAAUCUGGUAAAGAUUAUCAGCAGUUGCUCAAAUCUUGAUUUCAAAUCAUUGGUGAUGGAGUUCAUGUCAAAUGGAAGUGUAGACAAAUGGUUAUAUUCAAAUAACUAUUGUCUAAGUUUCUUGCAAAGGUUAAAUAUAAUGAUAGAUGUUGCAUCUGCAUUGGAAUAUCUUCAUCUUGGUUCUUCAAUGCCUGUGGUUCAUUGUGAUCUAAAGCCUUCCAAUGUCUUGUUGGAUGAAAAUAUGGUUGCACAUGUUAGUGAUUUUGGUAUUGCAAAGCUCAUGGAUGAAGGACAAUCUAAAACUCAUACACAGACUUUAGCUACUGUUGGAUACCUUGCACCAGGUCAUUCUUCUCUUUACGUAACAUUUUAUUCUGUGUUUUGAGUCCUAACCAAUCUAUUUGAUUUUGUUAACAAAACAAAAAAAAUCUACGACACAAACAUCUGUAAUCAACAUGUUAUAUUAGUAAUUAAUGUGUCUAAGCUUUAUUUUUAAGAAUAUUUUAUAAAUAGUAAUAACUAGUACUAACUUGCAGAGUAUGGAUCUAAGGGAAUUGUUUCUGUGAAAGGAGAUGUGUACAGCUAUGGGAUUAUGCUAAUGGAAAUCUUCACAAGAAUAAUGCCAACAGAUGAUAUGUUUGUUGCAGAACUAAGCUUGAAGACAUGGAUCAGUGGAUCAUUGCCUAAUUCAAUUAUGGAGGUCAUGGAUUCAAAUUUAGUCCAAAUAACUUGGGACCAAAUUGAUUAUAUAUUGACUCACAUGUCAUCUAUUUUUAGUUUAGCCCUGAUUUGUUGUGAAGAUUCACCUGAAGCAAGAAUCAAUAUGGCAGAUGUUAUUGCGACGCUAAUCAAAAUCAAGACUUUGGUUGUUGGCGCAAACACAAUCUAGUUAUUUUCAAUAUUGUUUUUGGAUUGAUGUCUUGCUACUUCCUGUUUGUCCUUUC
rnacentral:lncRNA from 1 species